rnacentral:rRNA from 1 species
AACGAACGCUGGCGGCAUGCCUAACACAUGCGAGUCGAACGAGACCUUCGGGUCUAGUGGCGCACGGGUGCGUAACGCGUGGGAACCUGCCCUUAGGUUCGGAAUAACUCCCCGAAAGGGGUGCUAAUACCGGAUAAUGUCUUCGGACCAAAGAUUUAUCGCCUUUGGAUGGGCCCGCGUUGGAUUAGCUAGUUGGUAGGGUAAAAGCCUACCAAGGCGACGAUCCAUAGCUGGUCUGAGAGGAUGAUCAGCCACACUGGGACUGAGACACGGCCCAGACUCCUACGGGAGGCAGCAGUGGGGAAUAUUGGACAAUGGGCGAAAGCCUGAUCCAGCAAUGCCGCGUGAGUGAUGAAGGCCUUAGGGUUGUAAAGCUCUUUUACCCGGGAUGAUAAUGACAGUACCGGGAGAAUAAGCUCCGGCUAAUUCCGU